UCUAGCUCCCCAGUGUAUAAGGGUUAUGUGUGCCCUGCCAUUGCUCUCCAGCCACACUGUCCUGCCAGCCCCUGGACUCCCUGGACCUGACACAGGCUGGUGACCGACUUGAGCCCAAACUAGCACUGCUGCUGGCAGUAGGGGCAGUUUUCAGAGCUUGUUUUUUUCCCUGCCUGUGCUGUGCAGGGUUUCCUGCCUGCUCCUGGGCCCUGAUGCACUGCAGGUCACUGCCAAGCACCUCUGCUGGCUGCAGCUGCCAGAGAAGACCCAGUGCCUCCAGUGAUCUUGCUCUAGAGCUCCUUUUCCUGUGUCCAUGUGGACUGGCAUGAGAAAGAUAUGAGAGCAGCAGAAGAGCCUGAUCGGUUGGAGAUCCCUAAUUGGAGAUGUCUGUGUUAUACUACCUUAUGUUACACUGUCUGGAGCCUGAUGUAACUUUUUCAACAUACUACAAAAUCCAGCUGAUAAUCAGUCCUAGGUCAUUUUCUUAAUUCACCACUGAUUAAUGAGCAAUCCAGCUGUUGCUAAAUUUCCCCAGUAGAGCACUUUGUUAGGUCAAGGAGAGGGAAAAAAAUGUAAAAGAAAAAGAAAAGAAAUAAAGAGAAAAAACAACAACAAAAAAAAAAAA